rnacentral:rRNA from 1 species
AUUGAACGCUGGCGGCAGGCUUAACACAUGCAAGUCGAGCGGGGAAAGGUAGCUUGCUACUUUACCUAGCGGCGGACGGGUGAGUAAUGCUUAGGAAUCUGCCUAUUAGUGGGGGACAACAUCUCGAAAGGGAUGCUAAUACCGCAUACGUCCUACGGGAGAAAGCAGGGGACCUUCGGGCCUUGCGCUAAUAGAUGAGCCUAAGUCGGAUUAGCUAGUUGGUGGGGUAAAGGCCUACCAAGGCGACGAUCUGUAGCGGGUCUGAGAGGAUGAUCCGCCACGCUGGGACUGAGACACGGCCCAGACUCCUACGGGAGGCAGCAGUGGGGAAUAUUGGACAAUGGGGGGAACCCUGAUCCAGCCAUGCCGCGUGUGUGAAGAAGGCCUUUUGGUUGUAAAGCACUUUAAGCGAGGAGGAGGCUACCGAGAUUAAUACUCUUGGAUAGUGGACGUUACUCGCAGAAUAAGCACCGGCUAACUCUGUGCCAGCCGCCGCAGUAAAAC